GACGAACGCUGGCGGCGUGCUUAACACAUGCAAGUCGAACGGAAAGGCCCUGCUUUUGUGGGGUGCUCGAGUGGCGAACGGGUGAGUAACACGUGAGUAACCUGCCCUUUACUUUGGGAUAACUUCAGGAAACUGGUGCUAAUACCGGAUAUGAGCUCCUGCUGCAUGGUGGUGGUUGGAAAGUUUCGGCGGUUGGGGAUGGACUCGCGGCUUAUCAGCUUGUUGGUGGGGUAGUGGCUUACCAAGGGUUUGACGGGUAGACGGCCUGAGAGGGUGACCGGCCACAUUGGGACUGAGAUACGGCCAAGACUCAUACGGGAGGCAGCAGUGGGGAAUAUUGCAGAAUGGGCGGAAGCAUGAUGAAGAAAAGCAGCGUGCGGGAUGACGGCCUUCGGGUUGUAAACAGAUUUAGAAUGAGAAGAAGAGUGAGUGACGGUAAUGGGUAAAGAAGCACCGGCUAACUACGUG
rnacentral:rRNA from 1 species